ACCCUUAGAUGUUCUGGGCCGCACGCGCGCUACACUGACAGAGCCAACGAGUUAAAACACCUUGGCCGAAAGGCCUGGGUAAUCUUGUUAAACUCUGUCGUGCUGGGGAUAGAGCAUUGCAAUUGUUGCUCUUCAACGAGGAAUGCCUAGUAAGCGCGUGUCAUCAGCACGCGUUGAUUACGUCCCUGCCCUUUGUACACACCGCCCGUCGCUACUACCGAUUGAAUGGCUCAGUGAGGCCUCCGGACUGGCUCAGGGAGGUUGGCAACGACCGCCCCGAGCCGGAAAGCUGGUCAAACUCGGUCAUUUAGAGGAAGUAAAAGUCGUAACA
rnacentral:rRNA from 1 species